rnacentral:tRNA from 1 species
GGGCGUAGUUCAAUGGUAGAGCCCCAGCCUUCCAAGCUGAUGACGCGGGUUCGAUUCCCGUCGCCC